rnacentral:rRNA from 1 species
UGCGAGUCAUUGUAGUAAUACAAGGCAGACGGCUCAGUAACGCGUAGCCACAUCUUAACCUAUGGACGGGAAUAACCUCGGGAAACUGAGUAUAAUGCCCGAUAGAACAUUAUGCCUGGAAUGGUUUAUGUUCCAAAUGAUUUAUCGCCGUAGGAUGGGACUGCGGCCUAUCAGUUUGUUGGUGAGGUAAUGGCCCACCAAGACUAUUACAGGUACGGGCUCUGAGAGGAGUAGCCCGGAGAUGGGUACUGAGACACGGACCCAGGCCCUAUGGGGCGCAGCAGGCGAGAAAACUUUGCAAUGUGCGAAAGCACGACAAGGUUAAUCCGAGUGGUUUCUGCUAAAGGAACCUUUUGUCGGUCCUAGAAACACCGAUGAAUAAGGGGUGGGCAAGUUCUGGUGUCAGCCGCCGCGGUAAAACCAGCACCUCAAGUGGUCAGGAUGAUUAUUGGGCCUAAAGCAUCCGUAGCCGGCUCUGUAAGUUUUCGGUUAAAUCUGUACGCUUAACGUACAGGCUGCCGGGAAUACUGCAGAGCUAGGGAGUGGGAGAGGUAGACGGUACUCGGUAGAAAGGGGUAAAAUCCUUUGAUCUAUUGAUGACCACCUGUGGCGAAGGCGGUCUACCAGAACACGUCCGACGGUGAGGGAUGAAAGCUGGGGGAGCAAACCGGAUUAGAUACCCGGGUAGUCCCAGCUGUAAACUAUGCAAACUCAGUGAUGCAUUGGCUUGUGGCCAAUGCAGUGCUGCAGGGAAGCCGUUAAGUUUGCCGCCUGGGAAGUACGUACGCAAGUAUGAAACUCAAAUGAAUUGAU